UUACCUCAUAUUUGUAUGGAAUGGGAUCGUUUGCCUACGUUUGCCGCUAGGGGCGCUGUUCCAACUGCAUACAAAAUUGGGCUA
rnacentral:pre_miRNA from 1 species